CGAGAAAAGAAGAGUUUUUAGUUUGAAUGAUUUGGAAAACCUGUGCUUGGUUAACUCCGACAACUACAAGUACAGACAUAUGACGGCAUCCAAACCUCUCAAUCAACCAAUUCUCUCCUAUUUGAUAGGCAAUUGCUCAUGCAAUUUUUGGGCCUGCCUGCCUCAGCUUUCCAAUUCCGAUAUGGGUUAUUCGAGUCGCUCAUCAGAUGGCUCCGGGAAAGAACGCCUGCGGUGGACACAAGAGCUACAUGAUGGGUUCGUAGAGGCAGUUAAUAAGCUUGGUGGCCCUGAUAGGGCAACUCCAAAGGGUAUCCUGAAAGCCAUGUGCAUUCCUGGCCUAAACAUUUAUCAUGUCAAAAGCCACUUGCAGCUCUCUCUCUCUCUCUCUCUCUCUCUCUCUCUCUCUCUCUCUCGCUGUGUUAAAAUAAUGUGUUAAUUUUGAGAUUUAAUCUGUGUAACUUAUCAUAGUUUAAGGGUGAGAUCAUGGUAUUUAACCCAAUCUGUUGUUAAAGUAUCAGAUCAAAAUUUGUUCAUUUAGUCUAGAUUUAUUAAUGCUGAUAAUCUUUCUGCUUUUCCUUUUUCCGAGAAGUACAGGCUCUCAAAAUUUAUUCCAGAAUCGAUCAGUAAAGCUGGCAAGUUGGAGAGGAGAACGAUUUCAGAAAUACUGCCUCAUUUCGGCACAAAAUAAUCUGCUGCUCAACCCAAUGAAGUACUAAAAAUGCAGAUGGAAGUACAAAGGCGAAUGAGUACUGAUCAUCAAUUACUUGAGGUUCAUAAGAGCAGCAGCUUGAAGCUUAAAAUUGAAGCCCAAGGAAGAUUCUUUGACAAAAUUUUGGAAGACCGUCAAAACCGCACGACCAAUGUCAUUACAACAAAACCUGGCCAAAAGCUGCCUUCUUCUCUUAGAUCACUGCCUUCCCUUUGCGAGGAGUCGGGAUCAAAUGCAAAAGAGUUUGAAUCUGAUGAUUCAGAAGCUGACAAAAAGAGCGAAAUACAGUCUGAGGAAGGAAUAAUAUUUAGUGUAUUGAGGAUCAAGUUGAGGAUCCUCUGCCUUAAUCUAAGGCUUUCCAUUUGUGUACUCAUUGACCCGUAAUUGUAGUAGCUCAAUAUUCUUUCCAUUUAUUUAUAAUCAUUCCAUACAUGUAAUUACCAUCUAUGACUUUGUAAUUACUCCUAUAUAUACAAUGACUCGCUACUGAAACAAGUGGUGGUUUCCAAA